rnacentral:rRNA from 1 species
AUUCGUCCAAUUGAAGCAGAGGACAGUGGCGGACGGGUGAGUAACGCGUGAGGAACCUGCCUUUCAGAGGGGGACAACAGUUGGAAACGACUGCUAAUACCGCAUGAAGCGUGAGGGCCGCAUGGCCUUUACGCCAAAGAUUUAUCGCUUCAAGAUGGCCUCGCGUCUGAUUAGCUGGUUGGCGGGGUAACGGCCCACCAAGGCGACGAUCAGUAGCCGGACUGAGAGGUUGACCGGCCACAUUGGGACUGAGAUACGGCCCAGACUCC